rnacentral:tRNA from 4 species
CUCAGUUGGUAGAGCAGCGGACUUUUAAUCCGUUGGUCCCGCGUUCGAGUCGCGGACGACCCACCA